ACACACCACUCCUCAGACAAGUACUCCCUACAGCAGUUUGAGCAGUUUCAGUCGGUCAGUCUAUGGACGUUUCAGUAAGUCUUUCUUGUAUGGUAACAGUAGUGAGACCUGCAGCGGUUCAGAACUUUCCCCAACAGAUUUAAACCCACCGUUUAUCCUGGAUUCACACACAGCCUGAUUCUACAGCAGCUGACCGACCUCUUGACGCAACCGGAAUCUUUUAAAAACUUCAUCAGCCUCCUUCAGUCACCUCAUCAUCAUGAACAGCGAAGACAAAAACAAAGAGGAGUGGAUUCCAGUGCCCGUCUCUGAACAGCCACAGCCGUCAUGUUCACCGUGUCCACCAUGUGACAGCUCAUGUGAAGGUGCAGAUCAGCUGUGCUCACAUUUCUGUUCAGAGAUUUGCACACAUUGUUGUGCUGCUUUAUGCGUUGCUUUAUGUGGUAUGUAUGACCAGUAGUGGCUAAUGCACCAAAGCUCUGAUGCGGAGAUUAAAGGUAGGGAAGCUGGAGUUUCAGGACACUCAACUGGCUACUGGGAUGGAGCUUGGUGUAUCUGUGAGUGAUGAGGUCUUGGGAUCGCUUCCUACUGGCCGCAGGAUGACCGUCUCACGUGAUAAAUUCAUCCCAUCGUACUGACAGCUACAGAUAAUCAGUAUUAAGGGGAGGGAAGAGUUUAUAUUAUGUGUAUAUAUUGUGAAUCAACCUAAGUCAUCUCCAAAAAACUAUGCAACUGUCAGGUUCCAAGAAAUGGGUCCUCAGUGUGACAGAUAACGAGGUUCUAGGAUAUUCCAAAGAUGAAUCUGGCAAAAAAUCACAACCCAGUCUGUUUCACGAUGACAGAGCUCCUCACUACUGGAUUUUGCCUUGGCUCGUUGUGUUACUUUAUUUCUGUACUAUUC